rnacentral:rRNA from 1 species
CUCCUGGAAACGGGUGGUAAUGCCGGAUGUUCCAGUUGAUCGCAUGGUCUUCUGGGAAAGCUUUCGCGGCAUGGGAUGGGGUCGCGUCCUAUCAGCUUGACGGCGGGGUAACGGCCCACCGUGGCUUCGACGGGUAGCCGGCCUGAGAGGGCGACCGGCCACAUUGGGACUGAGAUACGGCCCAGACUCCUACGGGAGGCAGCAGUGGGGAAUAUUGCACAAUGGGCGCAAGCCUGAUGCAGCGACGCCGCGUGAGGGAUGGAGGCCUUCGGGUUGUAAACCUCUUUUAUCGGGGAGCAAGCGUGAGUGAGUUUACCCGUUGAAUAAGCACCGGCUAACUACGUGCCAGCAGCCGCGGUAAUACGUAGGGUGCAAGCGUUAUCCGGAAUUAUUGGGCGUAAAGGGCUCGUAGGCGGUUCGUCGCGUCCGGUGUGAAAGUCCAUCGCUUAACGGUGGAUCCGCGCCGGGUACGGGCGGGCUUGAGUGCGGUAGGGGAGACUGGAAUUCCCGGUGUAACGGUGGAAUGUGUAGAUAUCGGGAAGAACACC